UACGUAGGGUGCGAGCGUUAAUCGGAAUUACUGGGCGUAAAGCGUGCGCAGGCGGUGAUGUAAGACAGAUGUGAAAUCCCCGGGCUCAACCUGGGAACUGCAUCUGUGACUGCAUCGCUGGAGUGCGGCAGAGGGGGAUGGAAUUCCGCGUGUAGCAGUGAAAUGCGUAGAUAUGCGGAGGAAUACUGAUGGCGAAGGCAGCCCCCUGGGAUAACACUGACGCUCAUGCACGAAAGCGUGGGGAGCAAACAGG
rnacentral:rRNA from 1 species